GAAGGAACAAAAAAGUGAAAGAAAAAAGAAAGGAAAGAAAGGAAAAUAGAAAGGAAAGAAGGAAAGAAAGAGGAAAAAGAAAGAAAGAAAAAAAGAAUGAGAGAGAGAUAGAGGAUAUCUAUCAGGAUAUAUGAUCGAGAUGGGCGAGACAGCAGGGCAUCUCGUUCCAUGGAGAAACUAGGACAACCCAUCCCACGGCAUUUAAAACCUUGCCCCUAGAUACUAGCUGCUCAAAAACAUUAUUUCUAAAGAUUGUUUUAAAAAAAUCCCAUGGCAAGAACAAUUGCACACACCUAAAGCUUCCGGUUAAAGGGCAAGACCUCACAUGGAAUGGUUAAGAUUGAUACUUUGUUUUCAAAAGGAAGCUUUUUAUUACCAUAUCCCAUGCUUACAUAUAUAUAACCACUAUAAUUUCGUUGACAAGUAAAAUUAUGCAGACACUAUCCUUAGUUGUUAAGAUCUGUAUCUCAGAUAUGUUGUUUAUCAAUUAACCAGAGGGAAGAAAACUUGAUCAGCAACUAAUAAUUAUCAUCCUUUCAAUUGGUCUUAAAAAUCCAGCAGUUUAGGAUCCAUGUUUGAGUACUAAGAAGGUUAGCUAUUUAGAACCUAAUGACAUUUAACUAAAAGGACAAAUCUAUCCAAGAUUAAUUAUGGUCAUGUACAUAGGAGCAAAAUUCAAUCAGGUGAGAACCACAAUGAGAACUACAAUAUAGCCACAAAUUUCUAAUCCACAAGAUUGAGAAUUACGAUAUGUCUCCUUACAGAAAAAAUAAAUCCAUAGUGAUCCUUGUGCUCAUCACAGAUGUUCAAAAGUGCAGAAUUACUAAACAUAAGCAAUAUAUUUUUACAAGUUUGAUUUGAAAAUUAAACAAUGACUAUAUAUUCACUCAAGGAAAUCCAUAUUAUGGAAUAUGCAUUAACAUUUACUCGUAAUAUUGUUUUAUUCAUCUUCUGAGAUAUUUAAUUUGUGAUCCUAACUUUUCUAAGAAGUUCAAAAGCACAAGCAGAAUGUCGUGAUUUGAGACAUGUCUAAUAUGAAAACCUACUGAACACUAUAUUGAAUAUAUGUUGGAGAAGAUAAAGCAGCAACAAAGUUUCAUGAAAACCAUUUGGAACCUACGAUACUAAUUACAUGCAUUCAACUCACAUGGAUGAGCUUUGCUUGAUUCUGCUGGUGAGGAGCAGCUGCAAGCAACCUUCUCAAAUUCACUUCAGUCUUGUUGAGUCUCAUGAUUACACCUAAAAAGAAACAAGAACAAGAUCAGAACUUUAGCACAGUAGGCAUAAUCUGCUGUCACAUAAUUCAAAAACUUCCUAUGAUGGGGCAGAAUAGAAGAUUUUAGAGGAACUACAGUAAUCCAUCGAACAAGAUUUUACCAUAUAAAAACGUUUUCCUAAAAAAAAAAAUUCUUUCUUCAAACUUUGCGUUUAGCCGACCAAUCCCACAACCUGAAGGUAGUAGAAACCAAUUUUCACUCUGGCUCCGUAACUGCAAGACAGGCAUCUCCAUUGCUAUCCCAAUAUGGUGCCCAUAAAGAAGCUUGCACCCCUCUCGUCCUUCCAACAUAUAUAUCACACAGAUAAUAACUUCUCUUUUUCAUUAAUUCCCAUUAUACGAGUUCUGAUUCAAGGAUCCCAGAAUUCAAGUCCAAAUG
rnacentral:lncRNA from 1 species